AUUGAACGCUGGCGGAAUGCUUUACACAUGCAAGUCGAACGGCAGCACGGACUUCGGUCUGGUGGCGAGUGGCGAACGGGUGAGUAAUACAUCGGAACGUGCCCAGUCGUGGGGGAUAACGUAGUGAAAGCUACGCUAAUACCGCAUACGAUCUAAGGAUGAAAGCGGGGGACCGUAAGGCCUCGCGCGAUUGGAGCGGCCGAAGGCAGAUUAGGUAGUUGGUGGGGUAAAGGCUCACCAAGCCGACGAUCUGUAGCUGGUCUGAGAGGACGACCAGCCACACUGGGACUGAGACACGGCCCAGACUCCUACGGGGGGCAGCAGUGGGGAAUUUUGGACAAUGGGCGCAAGCCUGAUCCAGCCAUUCCGCGUGCAGGAUGAAGGCCCUCGGGUUGUAAACUGCUUUUGUACGGAACGAAAAGGCUCUGGUUAAUACCUGGGGCUCAUGACGGUACCGUAAGAAUAAGCACCGGCUAACUACGUGCCAGCCGCCGCCGUAA
rnacentral:rRNA from 1 species